AUAUAGGGCAAUUCUAUCUCUCAUUAGGCAUAAAUAACAAUAAAGUAAUUAAUCUUAGGUAGUUUUCCCUUCAAGUCAAAACAUUUGU
rnacentral:pre_miRNA from 1 species